AUACUUAACCUGGCAGGGGAGAUACCAUAAUCACAAGGGUGGCGUCCCCAGGGCAGGGCUUAUCCGUUGCCCCCUGAUGUGCUAACCUCUGCAAUUUCCCCAAAGUCAGACUGCAGAAUUUGUGGUAAUGGGGGGACUGUUUCCACACUCUCCCCUG